UACAUAGGUGCCAAGCGUUGUUCGGAUUUAUUGGGCGUAAAGGGUGCGUAGGCGGCCAUACAAGCCGGGUGUGAAAUCCCGGAGCUUAACUCCGGAAUGGCAUUCGAAACUGUAUGGCUCGAGAUCUGGAGAGGUGAUUGGAAUUCUCGGUGUAGCAGUGAAAUGCGUAGAUAUCGAGAGGAACACCAGAGGCGAAAGCGAAUCACUGGACAGAAUCUGACGCUGAGGCACGAAAGCUAGGGGAGCAAACGGG
rnacentral:rRNA from 1 species